GAGUUUGAUCCUGGCUCAGGAUGAACGCUGGCGGCAUGCCUAAUACAUGCAAGUCGAACGAGAGACCUUCGGGUCUCUAGUGGCGAACGGGUGAGUAACACGUANGGAACCUGCCCGCGCACCGGGAAUACGCUCUGGAAACGGAGAACAAAUCCCGAUGUACAGGAAGGAGGCAUCUUCUUUCUGUGAAACAUCCUUUAGGGGAUGGGGCGCGGAUGGACCUGCGGUGCAUUAGUUGGUUGGCGGGGUAAAGGCCCACCAAGACGAUGAUGCAUAGCCGGCCUGAGAGGGCGGACGGCCACAUUGGGACUGAGACACGGCCCAGACUCCUGCGGGAGGCAGCAGUAGGGAAUUUUCGUCAAUGGGCGCAAGCCUGAACGAGCGAUGCCGCGUGAGUGAAGAAGGCCUUCGGGUCGUAAAGCUCUGUUGCGGGGGAAAAAAGGCAGCAUCAGGAAAUGGGUGCUGACUGAUGGUGCCCCGCCAGAAGGUCACGGCUAACUACGUGCCAGCAGCCGCGGUAAUACGUAGGUGGCGAGCGUUAUCCGGAAUGAUUGGGCGUAAAGGGUGCGCAGGCGGGUCUGCAAGUCUGGAGUGAAACGCAUGAGCUCAACUCAUGCAUGGCUUUGGAAACUGGAGGACUGGANAGCAAGAAAAGGCGGUGGAACUUCAUGUGUAGCGGUAAAAUGCGUAAAUAUAUGGGAGAACCCCAUUGGCCAAGGCGGGCCGCCUGGGCUGUUGCUGACCCUAAGGCACCAA
rnacentral:rRNA from 1 species